rnacentral:rRNA from 3 species
UAAACGACUCUCGGCAACGGAUAUCUCGGCUCUUGCAUCGAUGAAGAACGUAGCGAAAUGCGAUACUUGGUGUGAAUUGCAGAAUCCCGUGAACCAUCGAGUCUUUGAACGCAAGUUGCGCCUGAAGCCAUUAGGUUGAAGGCACGCCUGCCUGGGCGUCACGC